CCUGGUUAGGAAUCGGUGCUGUAGCAUUUGGCAAGGAGAAGUGUGACCGAGCUGUUCGGCAUGUUCGAGGAAGGAGCGCUCAUCCUCUCAAGUGGUGCUCACUCCUGGCCUUCCAGCCGGGCAGAUGGGAAAAUCAUAGGGCUGUCCGCAGGAUGGUGAAGAUCAUUUCAGGAUUAAUUUGUUUAUGGAGAAAAAGGGACAUGCUUGACGUCUCAUGGAACACAUCCUACAUUCCCAACCUGCUUUGCCUGGAUAAUUCCAGGUUAAAGCAAAAUCAAGGUCAAACCCCAUUCAUCCAGCUGGAUUUAAUCACUCAUCGAGCUGCUCUUCAUGGUCAUGGUUAUAAUUAUGAUGCUUUAGCAGUGCUCCAACUUCUUUUUUUUCUUUAUAAACACUGCAUAUACAGUAUGCCAGGAAAUACCAGAAUAGUAAUUUGUUUUCAUUUCUUUAAUCCUGAGGUGAAUUGUUUACUAUCUGGAUCAUUCAGUGAAAAUUCACCUCACCCCCUCAGAAUUAUUGAUUUUUUUCUUUUUUCUUCAAUAACUUCAGCAAAUAUAACAAAGUUCAUCAAAGUACAUAGCAGACAGCAGGGGAAAGAAAUUUGGCAAAUUUGGCAUUUUCCAGAUAUCCUUAUUUUUUCAGUAUUUUAAAUGCCUCAGAACUUAUUAAGUACAGGAGAUAAAUACGUGAAGUUUUCAGGGCUGAAAAAAAUAUUUGUUAUAUUUAAAAACUGCAGUCAGAUUAUUUUUAAACUCAGUCCAAGUGUCACAAUCUGAAGCUAUUUGAAGAAAUAGUUUUUGUUUUGUUUCAGUAUAAUGGCAGUAUAAUAGUGUCUUUCACUAUGAAUAACAAAACCGCAACAAUUUAAUGUGAUGUGAUGUAGUGUUUUUAGUGGCCGGUACACUUUCCAGGGGCAUAAGCGACCAGUCAAAUCAAGUUAUAGUAUCUGACAGGUCUCCUUUUAUACCUACUCUUUGAUACCGGGCUUGUCCUAUAGCUCCUUCUGUGUAAAAAUUAUUUUUGAACAGUUAGAAACUUGAAGCCUCAGUGCUUGUUUGCUCUCUUCUGAUAGUGUUGUUGGUCUGAAAGUUUGCGCUUCUGUUAUCAAAAUGUGAAAAAUAAUAACCUGCUGUCUCAGGAUCUAGUGCUUUUCUUUUCUACAGCACCAGGAAAAUGAUUGUGCCUGGAUGGUCUCGAUGGAUAUAUGCAAUCUCAACAUGUAGAACUAUUGCAAGCUUCCUCUUCAUCCUCUGCGAGUUCUCCUUCACUACAUCUACGUCCAACCUCCUAUCUCCAGCUUAUCCACUAUGCCUCCUCUGCAGAUGGCCAGACCAUCUCAGCUAUGUCACACUAACUUUGUCUCCAAACCCUUCAGCCUGAGCUGUCCUGAUGUACUCUGACCUCUCCAUUCUGAGCCUCUGUCAGAAGUAAAAGUUCAACAAGCUUCUUCAAUCCUAUUUGCCAGACAAGAAGCCAGUUAGCCCAGGAUUACCUGACCUAACCACGGCCGUCAUAGAGCUGGCAGCUUUACAAAGACCAUUAGAGCCUCUGCAAGUGUUUUACUCCCAGAGUGUGACUGGAACGUGGCACCCUACCUGCCGUCUUGGAUCUCAUUCAGGAGAUGCCCUCUCAGCUUCACGUUGGUUUCCAAGAAAUGUGAUGCAUUAAUUAUGAAUCUGGCUUUUCUUAAUAGAUCUUUUAAAAUAUGUUAGGCAUCCUGGCUCUGUUAAAUACAGAUCAAUAAGGUUUUACUACUAUAUGAAUGACUCUGUGGCAAAAAGGGAUCAUUAAGAAUACACUGUCUAUUGGCUUUGUCAGAGAAUAAUAUAUAUAAAAUACUAUUAUGUGAUUGUCUGAUGGAAAUUUCUGCUUUGGGUUCAGGAACACUUCUUCUUUAGUGAAAUGAGAUUUAGAAAUGCAAGACACCAAGAAAAUGAAGAAAAUAUAGAAACAGCAAUCAAAAAUGCCACUAUGUUUUCUGACCCAUGAUUAUAUAAGAGACUGAAAGUGGAAAUUUGUCCUAUGACCUGACAACUUUGGAUUUCCUCUUUGAAAUCAUGGACAGCAUAUCCUGACCAGCUGGCUUGAGGUCUCGUGGCUUGUAGCCCUCAUGGCUGUUUCUUUAUUUUUACUGUAUAGCCCCAAGAGUCCACCUUUCUGUCAGUCUCAGCAAAAAAAAAGAAAUAAACAUUUUGCCCAAAAUUGACGAUGUCAGUGGAUAAAAAAUAGACAGUAUAAGGCCUCGUAGAGUUAGCUGGGUUUGCGUUCUACCUUCAGACUCAAAUGACAGCUGAGAUGUGUUGUUAGUAUAAAUGGGCACACCCGUAAAGGAUGCAGGGUGCAAUUAUGUGUGAAGUCACAUGGCCACAGAUUAGAAAACCACAUUUAAAAGCCUUCAAAUUCAAGGUGUGGCUGUUUGAUGUGGAUGCUUUCCAGCAUAGUGUGAGCUUCCAGGUGCAGGGGAGUGCUGUCAUACCAUUAGCAUAGGUCAAGUGAAUGCAUGUAUGCCAGACGCAAGCACAUACAGCACUAAAAUCACAGCAUAUCUGUAGCAUCUAUUAGGUGGUGAAUUACUUUAGCAGCAGCAUUGAGAUCCUUUGCUGUUCCUGGUCUUGCACAAAGACCCUGUAAUGGGGAAGAUUAGGUGAGAUGGGCCUCUCUUAUCUCCCAAUGAAAUAAGACCUGUUUCGUAACUUUUAGCCGUAAUUCACCUUGAGUAAUCUGAAGCCAAACACACCACAGUUUGUGUCUCUUUUGGAUCAAAAGAAGCUGAAAUAAUGGGAUCCUCUGUGCAAAGGUGACUGCUGAUGCUCCUUCCCACUCCACAGACCCCACAUAACCCCGCACUGCUUUUCCUUGAAGGCAGAGCGAUUCUCCAGCUUUUUGCCACUGGGGGUCAGAAGCAGCUCAACUGAAAGUGGCUGGAAAUCCCAUUUCUCUCUCUGCGCCUCUGAUCCAAAACCAAAACUAACUCUGCUGUCAGCAGUGGGAAUAUCUCUCCGACAGCUGGGACAAACUAAUGCGACCCUCCUGGAAAUCCAGUUAUCUCUGAAAAGAGAGGACGAGGGUAAAGGAUGAUAGGGGAGACAGAGAGCUGAGAACCAUGAGUAGAUCUUUGUUUCCUAGUAAUGCAUGUAUUUUCUUAGGCAACAUUGCCUUAGAAACUGGUCACCCAUAUGUGAGACCUUAGUCACGCUGCAGAGCUUCUUAGGGCAAGUGUUUCUGAUCGAAUCCGACGUCCAGUUAUUCCAUCUUCUUUUCUUCUCUAAGUUACAGCGGCAGAGCCAUGUACAC